GAUGAACGCUAGCUACAGGCUUAACACAUGCAAGUCGAGGGGCAGCAUGGUCUUAGCUUGCUAAGGCCGAUGGCGACCGGCGCACGGGUGAGUAACACGUAUCCAACCUGCCGUCUACUCUUGGACAGCCUUCUGAAAGGAAGAUUAAUACAAGAUGGCAUCAUGAGUCCACAUGUUCACAUGAUUAAAGGUAUUCCGGUAGACGAUGGGGAUGCGUUCCAUUAGAUAGUAGGCGGGGUAACGGCCCACCUAGUCUUCGAUGGAUAGGGGUUCUGAGAGGAAGGUCCCCCACAUUGGAACUGAGACACGGUCCAAACUCCUACGGGAGGCAGCAGUGAGGAAUAUUGGUCAAUGGGCGAGAGCCUGAACCAGCCAAGUAGCGUGAAGGAUGACUGCCCUAUGGGUUGUAAACUUCUUUUAUAAAGGAAUAAAGUCGGGUAUGGAUACCCGUUUGCAUGUACUUUAUGAAUAAGGAUCGGCUAACUCCGUGCCAGCAGCCGCGGUAAUACGGAGGAUCCGAGCGUUAUCCGGAUUUAUUGGGUUUAAAGGGAGCGUAGAUGGAUGUUUAAGUCAGUUGUGAAAGUUUGCGGCUCAACCGUAAAAUUGCAGUUGAUACUGGAUAUCUUGAGUGCAGUUGAGGCAGGCGGAAUUCGUGGUGUAGCGGUGAAAUGCUUAGAUAUCACGAAGAACUCCGAUUGCGAAGGCAGCCUGCUAAGCUGCAACUGACAUUGAGGCUCGAAAGUGUGGGUAUCAAACAGGAUUAGAUACCCUGGUAGUCCACACGGUAAACGAUGAAUACUCGCUGUUUGCGAUAUACAGCAAGCGGCCAAGCGAAAGCGUUAAGUAUUCCACCUGGGGAGUACGCCGGCAACGGUGAAACUCAAAGGAAUUGACGGGGGCCCGCACAAGCGGAGGAACAUGUGGUUUAAUUCGAUGAUACACGAGGAACCUUACCCGGGCUUAAAUUGCAGAUGAAUUACGGUGAAAGCCGUAAGCCGCAAGGCAUCUGUGAAGGUGCUGCAUGGUUGUCGUCAGCUCGUGCCGUGAGGUGUCGGCUUAAGUGCCAUAACGAGCGCAACCCUUGUUGUCAGUUACUAACAGGUUCCGCUGAGGACUCUGACAAGACUGCCAUCGUAAGAUGUGAGGAAGGUGGGGAUGACGUCAAAUCAGCACGGCCCUUACGUCCGGGGCUACACACGUGUUACAAUGGGGGGUACAGAGGGCCGCUACCACGCGAGUGGAUGCCAAUCCCAAAAACCUCUCUCAGUUCGGACUGGAGUCUGCAACCCGACUCCACGAAGCUGGAUUCGCUAGUAAUCGCGCAUCAGCCACGGCGCGGUGAAUACGUUCCCGGGCCU
rnacentral:rRNA from 1 species